GGAAGGUGAAGUGGCAGCGGUGCCACACCGGUCUUGAAAACCGGCGACGUUCACGCGUUGGGGUUAACUAGGGUCCUACGGACCCGUUGCGAACCCCGGAAAGCUCCAGCAAGCUGGACCUUUCCACGAACCGUCGACUCCUCCACCUUCCUCCA
rnacentral:tRNA from 1 species